rnacentral:lncRNA from 1 species
CUAGGUGUCCGCGAGCCUGAUCUUUCUCGGUUGUGUGACAAGAACCUGACUUUUCCUGCAGCACAAGGAGAGAGGCACUUUGAGGUUUUCCAAGCUCUCGUCCUAUCUAUGCUUUGGGCGCUGAACAGGGAGGGGACCGUGAUGCCAUGCAUGGCCAACAGCAACGGAUGCCAAGCAAGGCUCAUGGCAUAAGACAGACUCGAGGAACUAAGCAGUGGUCACAGGCAGAGGGAGUUAGCAGUGGAGCUGACUGCAUUGGAAAGCCUUGGGAAAACAGCACGGAAAAUAACAGGCGGCCGGAGCCACGGCCAGUGAAGAGGGAGCCAAGAGCAUUUCGGCAUUGCAGAGUGGAAUGAAGCCUCUUUAGAGAUCAAAGAAAUCUCAGCUCCCGAGACUCGGGGGAAUCACCGUGUUCCAGAACCUUCACUGUCAUUUAACAUAAAACAUAAAGGUUAACAUUGAAUGAAACAAUACCCUGGCUGAUUAUUUUAAUAGUCUCAAAGUUCAACCUUUUCCCCUGGAUUGCUGUUAUAGACCAUGUGGACUGUACAGGCUUUGCAGUUGUUUGCCCCUUUCCUGCUGUACCGAUAGGAGAGUAGCGGUCAGUCAAAUCCCCAGCAGUGACUGUGUGCAUCUCCCUCACAGUCAUUCAUUCCCUUAUAGCAAAAA